UCUAGCUAAUAGCUACCUCUCUUCUAGCUAAUAAACUUAUUAUUUAUGCAUCUAUCUACUUUAUGUACUUUAGCUCUUUGUGGCAUCUGCUAGUUUAUUAUUGCUUCUUAUGUAUGGAAUCCCUGUCAGGAAAUGAAUGGCUGCAAAUUCCGUACCAGUUUUCUUCUGCUCAACAUUGUCUGUAAGUGCUCUUCUAUCUCUUUCUUCUGAUUCUUCAUUUAUUUAUUAUUUCUAGUUACUUGCUUCUAAUCUUUUUGUUUCUAUCUCUGCAACUGUGUUGGUGCUUUCAUGAGUAUUCCUCCAACACAAAAAGAGGGGAAAUGCAAAAAGCUUUCUUUCUAAUAUGGUUUAAUUUCUUUUUCUUUUCUUGGUUAUUUCCCCCUUAAUUAAGAAAUAAUUGCGUUUUCAGAUUGCUGCUUUUUGCGGGUUNNNN
rnacentral:lncRNA from 1 species